rnacentral:rRNA from 1 species
UACGUAGGGUGCAAGCGUUAAUCGGAAUUACUGGGCGUAAAGCGUGCGCAGGCGGCUUUGCAAGACAGAUGUGAAAUCCCCGGGCUUAACCUGGGAACUGCAUUUGUGACUGCACAGCUGGAGUGCGGCAGAGGGGGAUGGAAUUCCGCGUGUAGCAGUGAAAUGCGUAGAUAUGCGGAGGAACACCGGUGGCGAAGGCAAUCCCCUGGGCCUGCACUGACGCUCAUGCACGAAAGCGUGGGGAGCAAACAGG